AUUGAACGCUGGCGGCAUGCCUUACACAUGCAAGUCGAACGGUAACAGGUUAAGCUGACGAGUGGCGAACGGGUGAGUAAUGUAUCGGAACGUGCCCAGUUGUGGGGGAUAACUGCUCGAAAGAGCAGCUAAUACCGCAUACGACCUGAGGGUGAAAGCGGGGGAUCGCAAGACCUCGCGCAAUUGGAGCGGCCGAUAUCAGAUUAGGUAGUUGGUGGGGUAAAGGCUCACCAAGCCGACGAUCUGUAGCUGGUCUGAGAGGACGACCAGCCACACUGGGACUGAGACACGGCCCAGACUCCUACGGGAGGCAGCAGUGGGGAAUUUUGGACAAUGGGCGCAAGCCUGAUCCAGCCAUGCCGCGUGCGGGAAGAAGGCCUUCGGGUUGUAAACCGCUUUUGUCAGGGAAGAAACGCUCUGGGUUAAUACCCUGGGGUAAUGACGGUACCUGAAGAAUAAGCACCGGCUAACUACGUGCCAGCAGCAGCCGCCGUAA
rnacentral:rRNA from 1 species